UGAACUUUUCACCCAGCUAACCUGUUCCUCACCCUGCCUUGCACAGGUGGAGUGCCACUGGAGCCCAGCCCUUGCUCUCCCUGCUCCUUUUGCUGGUCCCUGUUUGCUGCAGGGUGAAUGAGGACUGAUGGUUACUGGUCACAGAGGAUUGGGAAGAAAUUCCAUACUGGAGAGGGCAAGGAGCAAAUGUAAGGAAGGUCUGAAACCAGCAGCAGCUCUCUAAUGCACAGUAUUUCCAGGAGCCAAGUCCUGUAUUUUUCUCUGUGUGUCUAAAUUCCAUAAAAGUCCAGAAAGUAA